UGCGUAACGCGUGGGAAUCUGCCCUUGGGUUCGGAAUAACAGUUGGAAACGACUGCUAAUACCGAAUGAUGACUCCGGUCCAAAGAUUUAUCGCCCAGGGAUGAGCCCGCGUAGGAUUAGCUAGUUGGUGAGGUAAAAGCUCACCAAGGCGACGAUCCUUAGCUGGUCUGAGAGGAUGAUCAGCCACACUGGGACUGAGACACGGCCCAGACUCCUACGGGAGGCAGCAGUAGGGAAUAUUGGACAAUGGGCGAAAGCCUGAUCCAGCAAUGCCGCGUGAGUGAUGAAGGCCUUAGNNUUGUAA
rnacentral:rRNA from 1 species